GCAGCACUGAGCUGACACAGAGACACAGCUUGUCUAAGAAGUUCACCACUUGGCCAGAAGCAUGUGGGAACCCAUGUUCUCUGCAACCAGGCAGAUAUGAGGAGAGAAAGGGGCUGUUCCCCAAAACUCAUCAAUCAAAAUGCCAACUCAGAGGGCCUUCUCCAUCUGAAGUCAAAGAAAUGUAACAGAAGAGGCAGGAGAAAUGAGACAGGAGAAAAACUUGACCUGCCAUUGCUGCCUUUGAAGAUGAAGGGAGCCACAAGGAAGCCGCAUGGAUGGCCUCUAGAAACUGGGAACAGCCCUCAGCUGACAGUCAGCAGGGAAAUGGGGACCUAGAGUUACCAGAAUGGAACACAGCUUUGAGUUCUGCCCUGUGAGACUUGAAGCAGAGAAACCAUCUAUCCUACAGAACUGUGAGGUAAAAAAUGAGUGCUAUUUUAAGCCACUAAAUUUGUGGUGAUUUGUUAUGGCAGAAAUAGAAAACUGACGUAAGUGCUGUAAAUGUAAAGAAGAUAAUUAAACUAACUUAUACAUUUUCUUUUUAACUAUACCUUCCAUUGACAUAAGAUUUCCCAUCUCUUCUUAAACUGCCUCUUUCUAACGCUUCACCAGACCAACCAUUAGACUAUUCAAUGACAGAUUUGUAAAUAUAUGUCCUGGUGUCACCAGACUAAAUCUUAAUGAACUUUAGCCAUACCCAAACUAGCAUCCCAUGGCCUCAAAUUCUUCCUCCCUAUCCUAAUCCAGACAUUGUACUCAGAAUGAGGGAUUAUACAACACAUAAAAAUAUUGGAUUUGCUCUUGGAUUGUCCAAUAGAGCUAUUUCUCAUUGUGUGACCUAUCUACUUUUGCUUCCUGUAACUCAGGAAAACAAGUCCAAGCGCAAUUGAAAGGUCAGGGUCCUUCACCCUGCUGCAAAUUGAUUUUAUUGACUCUCCAUAGGCAAUGGCUAUUCUCAUAUUCAGUUCACUAUGUCUUCAUGUCCCAAGGUUUUCCCUAUCAUAAGGUAAGUGCUGCCAUUGACUCGAGGAAGAAAAAAAGUAGGCUAAUCUGUGACAUCCAAGACAAAGUGAAGAGCAAAAUGAAGUAUCUAAGAACUGGG
rnacentral:lncRNA from 1 species